UUUGGUUUUUUUUAUCCGUAAUGUGAGGUAUUUGCCCAUAAGCCUGAUCCAAUAGAAGCCCUAAAAUAUGUGGGCUCCACGUUCUGUCCAGUUUAUUUUGGUCGUAAAAGUUUUGUGUUUGAUCUGAUUUGGGUUUUCCACAUUUGGUUCCAUAAUUAAGUCAAAAUCUGCGUUUUAUGCUUGAAUGAAUUAGGGCUUCAUCAUUAUCUUUCUUCUUCCUCAUUCAACCUCGCCGUCUACACUUAUCUUAAUCUGCAAACCUAAUGAUUGCAAACGUAAAGGUUGACAUCACUGUCUCCGUACCCAACAUCCAUUCCUCUCUUUACCACCUCUUCUGGUUCCUGAUGUCGUCCCUGAAUCCACCGCUCUGUUUCGGCCGGCGAGACCACAAAACGAUCCAUGGAGGAUUCCCCUGACAUAUCAUGGGGCUGCAAUAUAGAUUCAGUCGAAAACGCCACUUCUCUUCAGAGAUGGCUAACCAAUUCAGGCUUCCCGCCGAAGAAAAUGGCUGUCGACUCUGUCGACAUCAGAGAGAGGGAGGUGGGAGUCUCGGAAUGAAAUAUCAACGAACAAACACUUGCUUAAGUUAAAUUCAAAGGAAUGUGCUCAACUUACUUCUCAGUGCGCUCAUCUACAAGACCGAACGAUGGCUCUUGCCAAGGAGCUGGCAUCGCUUAACUUGGUUUCCGACAUAAGCUUGGAGGAAGUUGAUGUGCUGAAGCUUGCCUUUUUUGAGAAUAACGCAAAAGACAAAAGAUACAAUAGACACACCAGGUUUGUUUCCUGUGAUAUUGUGGUUUCGGCCUAUAUUGGUUUGUGGUUUCGGCCUAUAUUGGUUUGUGGUUUCCUCAAGUCUCUGUUCUGUUCGUAUGGUCUCAGCCCGUGCUUAUUCAGGUUCUUUGGGAACUUGCGUUCGAUUGUCGUCUGUGUGGAGCUGGUUUUUUGGUUCUGAUAAGAAACACUUUCCCUCUUUUUAAUUAGUGUGCCUCAGUGUUGAUUUCUUUCUUUUGGUGAUUCAAAAGGUUGUCCGGUAGUGUGGAAAGGUUGUUUGUGUUUUUAUGGUCUGUAAUAAUCGUACUUCAAAUUACGUUAAUGCAAUUCAAAGAUGAACAAAAAAAAACAAAAUAGACACACCUGUCAAGUCCUUGGUUACUCGAAACAUGUAGGCACAUAGCUUAUGUUUUGUUACAGCUUCCCUUCUCUCAUUUUAUCAUGUAGGUACUAUUGAUGAGGUCCCCACGACUACUACUGUGACCAACCUCCAGAAAUUCAUGCUUCUGAAGUUCAACCAUCUUCAAGCUCUUGCAAACUUUCUUUGAACUCCCCGAUAUAGUUGGCCAAAUCCGUUCAAGACUCUUAACAUAAACAACUCUGUUCAAGGCUCUGACAUAAACAACUCUGCUGCAACAACCCGAUUAUGCAUGAAAGUUGGUGUCUCAAUCAUGCUGCCGCGCAACCUAAACCAAGAAGAAGGCUUGAGAAAGAGUUAUCGAAGCAGAAGUGUGUGUGCUGAUACCAAGAAACAAAAUAUCACCGACCUAAACCAAACAUCUAUUCAUUCUAAGAAGCCGCCAGUUUCCAGUACAUAUAUCAUGGGGAUUUUAACAUUACCAGGGUCACGUGACUAACGACAUUGCCAACAUCGUUUACAGAAAAGCCUUCAAUGGCCUCCCACAAUCACUGGUUUAGAAGAAGACUAUGAGAGUUUCGCCAACAUGCUUUCCUCUGUUUCUUUCUCUGUUCUGUCUGUAUCUGUCCAAAGAAUCAUCAAAUGGGAUCCACUGAACUACAAGACACAGAUUUGUUUAGCUCUUUUUCUGAGAACUUACACUCAACGUUCUUCACUCCAACCACAAGCUCGCUCUGAUCUGACUCGGACACGGAUUCACCAAAGCCAUAAAACGAGGAUGAAAAUCGUAGAGUUGACUUGGCAGAUGAGUAACUAUAUGAGCAUCAGAAGUCUUUUGGUGGAGACAACCUAUUAUGAUUCCUUUUCAAUCAAAAGAAGCUUUAAUCGAUGAGCAGAUCCGAUAUGUUCAGGCAAACUUCCAAAACUAGAAGGAGAAAGACGAGCAGCGAAAUGAUGAUGCAUUUAAACAUAAAGCAAGGAGCUACCACAACCAACAGAGAGACCAAAGUCCGCUGUGAAGGUGGAGUUCGUUGACGGGACAUUCGAGAACCAUGGUACUGCUGGGGAGUCACCCAAGAAAGUAGUUUCAUAUUAAUUUAGCAUUGUUACUUCUUCUUUUUUUAAGUCACGCAAGAACUCCAUUAUAAGUUUUUGUUUUGUUUUCUAUUAACGAGAUGUGGUUUUAAAGAAGGCUACAUAUUAUAUAUAAUGGACAACAGAUAAAAGAAAGAGAGAAA